AACGCACAUUGCGCCCCUUGGUAUUCCGAGGGGCAUGCCUGUUCGAGCGUCAUUAUAACCACUCAAGCCUCGGCUUGGUAUUGGGGUUCGCGGUCUCGCGGCCCUUAAAACCAGUGGCGGUGCCAUCUGGCUCUAAGCGUAGUAAUUCUCUCGCUACAGGGUCCAGGUGGUUACUUGCCAAAACCCCCCUAUUUUCUAUGGUUGACCUCGGAUCAGGUAGGGAUACCCGCUGAACUUAA
rnacentral:misc_RNA from 1 species